rnacentral:lncRNA from 1 species
CUGUGAUUGGCCUACUGGUUGGAGGGAAACUCUUCUGGGUCCUUGACGGUAUAAAGUUGACCGGUGCUCAGUAGUUUCGGGAUUGGUCAAGUAUGGUAAAAAACAUCUUUCAUUAUCGUGGCGUAAUAAUUAAAGAGAAAUGUUUUAUAUAUUGAACAAUUCAUCACAUGCAAUUUUUUUUAUUUUUUUAUUUUUUUAUCAAUACAACAACAUCUACACAUUCAAAUAUAAAAAACAAAGCUCACUAGCAAGUAAGAAAAAUUGUAAUACUAAGAGCAUCUCUAAAAGAGAUGUUAAAAUUGCCACAUAAACAUAUAAUAGUAAAAAAUGGCAAUAAACUCUCUCUAACCGAUCCUUCAAUUUCUUACGUGGACCUGAGUCAAUUGAAGACAAAGUCUUCUACCAUCAAAUUAGUUUAUGCUUUAUUAAUAAGUGUGAUGCAAUUCAUAAUAAAUGUUGUUUUGUGUUCUAAGUAUUUGAUAGUUUGUCCUAAUAAUUGAUGACACACCCCUACCGAGGUUGAGACGUGAUGGCCGUCAUGUGAGAGUGACGUAGCCAAAAUGCGCAACAGAAGUGAUAAUAAAAGAAAUGCGAAUAAAUAAAACCUAAAACCAAACUUAUCUAAACUAAGAUCAUAUAAGUGGGUGCAGGUGACCAAGCAAGUUAUACAAAUAUCAAAGCAUAGGUAAACGAAAGUGCAGUCAAACCAACUAAGUACUAAUUAUAGAAAUAGGGAAAAGAUCCCUACUUAUUUAUAGAGAUGUCAGAACCACCGUGAAUGUCCUCAUGAGCCACCAAAGAUGACCAACUACCUAGAACCUGGAGGGGCGCAAAACAGAAAAAGUGAGCGGGCAAAAACAAAGCUUUUGAAAACACAGUUGUCUUUAUGAACAUACUUACCUCUCACUGUAAAACCCGUAUAAUUUCCUAGAAAAUAAUAACACGUAGGUGCAUAAAGGUAAUGCUUAGAAGCAGUGAAAAUAGAGGUAUGCCAUGUCAAGAUGUUUAACCAUAAAAUGUGUAAGCCAGGUGAUACGAAUCAAUGUAAAAUAAUAUGCCAACGAAGUCAAGUAAUGUUACUUGCACGGUUGAAUCUAUAGCUCAUCAAGUAUGCUUGCACACGAGUCGAAACCACAUAUUAUGGUUUGUACGACAGGGUUGGGUGUAGAUAAGUACGCUCAAGUGCUACAAUUACGUAAAGGAUAUGCGAAUAAUCGCGGGUCACCUAUGAGUCGAAACCACCUAUUAUGGUAUGUAC